CCUUAUCAAGAGUGGCAGAGGGAAUAGGCCCGAUGAAGCCCGGCAACCCAGCCUUCAUAUUUUAUGAAGGAGAAGGUGCUAAAUCCUACAGAAAUAUUAAGAAUGUUUCUGAAAGAUGAGG
rnacentral:ncRNA from 1 species